CAUAAAUUUUGCAGGUUGUCGCUUCACCCCCCCCCCCCCCCCCCCACGCCCCACGGUACGUUGUU
rnacentral:SRP_RNA from 1 species